rnacentral:lncRNA from 1 species
UUCAAUGGGAUUACACAAAUCAUUUUUCUAUCCAAAAAAAUCUCAAAAAAAGGUUAGUUGACCAAGAACACAACAAUGGAGACGCAUGUGUUUGGAAAUAUUCAACAGGUUAGUUAAACACUUAGACUAACAGCUUUUGGAAAGAAAGAAAAUUGUGCAUUAAAUCUCAAGCACUGACUAGCAAAUGGUUUAAAGAAUUUCAAGCUAAUUCAUAAGCUCCCAUGGAUAGUACAUUAUUUACUUGCUGCAGCAUGAAAAACCUUCAGCUCAUACUCCAAUAAUUUCCAGCAUAUAUUACAUACAAAUGGGAAUAAGCAAUUAACAAAGAAUAGAGAAUUUUCAGUGUUUAUUAUAAUCCCACUCAAUUAGCUAAUGAUGAAACACAUUUUCCUUAAAAAACACAUACACAUCUCCAGGCUAUAUAGUUUUCAGUUCCUCCAAAUAGCUUCUCGAUUUAUCAGGAUUGGAGUAUUCCAGCAAAUCAGAAUCUGGUGCAUAUUACUCCAAAAUGAACAAAGUCACAAGACUGACAUUUAACAGCAAAAUUUAGAGAUGGUGCACAUAUCAUUAACUACACCUCAAACUAACGAUACUUAUGCCCACAGAUUGCACACGAGGUGCAGCGUCGAUUUCCAUACUCAUUUUGGCCAUUAUCACUUAAGUCCGCAGCAUGUUCCAGGUAUCAGUUAAAUCAAACACCUCAAUCAAAGUUAUAACAUUGCACUUAUGCUAAAUAAGAUUUCAACACGUUCAAAUAUGCUAAAACUAAAUUUCAAAAGAUUCAAACAAUUGAAGCACAUGAGCUAGAAGUGCAUCUACAAUUUCAUUACGAAUCAGAGAGGAGAUACAUGAUUGGGACAUGUACCUGGUCUCUUAGGAAUCAACAUAAAAUUGCCAAAGAAAGGCUAGAAAGGAGGAAAAGUUGGAGUUCAGCUGUAGUUUAUUUGCAAAACAACUUCAAUUACCAGUUUAAAUCACCUUGAAAAAACUCAGGAAAGUGUGAAUAAAAUCUUCAAAGCUCGAUUUCACUUCAAGUUCUACUUGAAAUCUUUAUUUUUUUUGCAUUUUUCAGAGCUUUUGUUUUUGUCCUCACAUCUGAUCUUUGAACUCGAAUUCAGAAUGUGAGUGUGUGCGUCGAUGACUGAGAGAGGUGAGAAUUGUGUGAUUUCUUUUUCAGGAGAUGAUGGGAAGGUCUACUCUUUGUCUUUUGGAGCAGAUUAAGGGCACCGUUUGCUCUGAUUUUUGGGAGCAGGGAUGCCAUUGUUCUCCUCUCCUAGGUCUAGAUUUUAGGGACUUUAAUGAAAGAGGGGCUUGGGCCGGUUCGUGUAGGCUAAUUAUUUGGGCCGAAGUUUUUGGACUUAUUUUGUAUUAAAUUGGCCCAAUUUCAAAAAAAAAACACUUGUUCAAUUCCCCCUUUUAUUUCCUUUUCUUUUUUUCUUUAAUUAAAUAUUCUUUAUUAAAUUCCUAAAUUAAUCUAAAUUAUCGAACUAACUAAUUAUCUAAUUUUAAUAAUUAUAAAAAUAACUUGAUCCUAAUUAAAAGAGAAAAACAAUAAUGUAAAAAUUAAAAGGUAAAAAUGUAAAAAUGAGUCAUUUUUGUGAUUUUUAUUUUUUAAUAAAACAAUAAUUAACUAAUUAAUCCUAAAAAUGUAAAAACAAAACCUAAAUGCAAUGCAUGGUAUUUUUGACAUUUUCAUGAUUUUAAUAAAAAUUAAACGUGCACAAAAAUGCAAACAAUUAGCAAAAAAAAUCCUACAAAAUUCAUAUAAAAUGGAAAAUAAUAAUUAGAAAAAUCUACUUUCUUGGAUUCUAUAGGAGUAAUUCAUAUAGGGCAAAAAUUACAUGUUUACAACUGCCCCUCUUUGCUUAGAAACACGAAGAAUUUUCGGGCAAAGAUAAAAAUGAGCAAUUACGAGGGAUUUUUGCACAUUUGAAACUCCAAGAGAAACAUCUUUUGAAAAAGCCGGACCGAACCUUGCUUCAGAUGUUGACUACAUAUCCUUGGCUAUAAAUGAAUCAGGUCAAUGUAGUUCUAAAAGUUUUGGUAGCUGGGACUACCGGGAAACAGUGAUUUCAUUGCUGUUGCUGCUUGUUGAGCUCCUUAUUACACCGAAAUAAAAGAUAAAAAGCUAAACUAGCUAAACCUAUCAACUACGAGUUACAAGAUUCCUAUCUAUAAACCUCCAAAGCUUGAUCUUGAGUCUUGGAUGGUUUUUCCUGCAGACUCUGAUCUGAAUCUUGAUGCUCGUUAGAUGCAACCGCUGGUUCAUUCUUCUUCAGCUUUUCGGAUCAAGGCGGGACAUGCGAAGCUUGUGACUUCAAUCAAAUUUUGAGUGGUCCGCAUCUUUUCUCCGCUUCUGCAACUUGAGUUCAACUUCUUUUCUUGUUUCCUCUUUUCUUUUAUUUGGGUUGAGACUUCUUCUUUUGGUCAUCUCAAACCUUGUGCCUCACGAUUAAAACCUGUUUAGGCACCAAAGCAAAUAAACGAAUGAAAUUAUUCUACCCUAGUUUUCACUAGGAAAAUUUUGUGAGUUAUUCUAACAAAAUUCUAAACUACUUCUUUAUUGAAAGCAAUAAAAGUCAAGAUUGUGUAUCCUUGGGAAAAAGAUAUUAGGGAGUGGAGGCCCUAUAUCUAACAUGAAAUCAACUAGGGAUUGGAGGCCCUGAGUUGGGAAAGUGACUAGGGAGUGGAGACCCUAUGUCUAAAANNNNNNNNNNNNNNNNNNNNNNNNNCAACAUUUUUUUUUCUUUUGAGAAAAUAAUUCUUUUAAACAUAUUGCCCCAAUGCCUCCCUUUUUUUAAUCGAGACAUCCCCUUUUUUGGUAUCUCAGGAGAAAGAUUCAUCAGGCUAAGAUUUCUAUCCUAGGAGAAAGUUCAUCAGACUAGGUCUUCUAUCUUAGGAGAAAGAUUCAUCAAACUAAGACUUUGAUCUUAGGAAAAAGUUCAUCAGACUAGGUCCUUUUUUACCUUUUUUCUUUUUUUUUGGUAUCAUAGGAUAAAGAUUCAUCCGACUAAGAUGUUUAUCCUAGGAUUCAUCAGACUAGGUUUUCUAUCUUAGGAGAAAGAUUCAUCAGACUAAGAGUUCUAGUCUAGGAGAAUGUUCAUCAGACUAGGUCUUCCAUCUUAGGAGAAAAUUCAUCAGACUAAAGUUUUGAUCCUAGGAAAAAGUUCAUCAGACUAGGUCUUUUUUUUCAUUUUUCUUUUUUUUGGUAUCUUAAGAUAAAGAUUCAUCCGACUAAGAUGUUUAUCCUAGGAGAAAAUUCAUCAGACUAGGUUUUCUAUCUUAGGAGAAAGAUUCAUCAGACUAAGAGUUCUAUCCUAGAAGAAUGUUCAUCAGACUAGGUCUUCCAUCUUAUGAGAAAAUUCAUCAGACUAAGACGUUUAUCCUAAGAGAAAGUUCAUCAGACUAGGUCUUCUAUCUUAGGAGNNNNNNNNNNNNNNNNNNNNNNNNNNNNNNNNNNNNNNNNNNNNNNNNNNNNNNNNNNNNNNNNNNNNNNNNNNNNNNNNNNNNNNNNNNNNNNNNNNNNNNNNNNNNNNNNNNNNNNNNNNNNNNNNNNNNNNNNNNNNNNNNNNNNNNNNNNNNNNNNNNNNNNNNNNNNNNNNNNNNNNNNNNNNCUUAUGAGAAAAAUUCAUCAGACUAAGAUUUUGAUCCUAAGAGAAAAUUCAUCAGAGUAAGUCCCCUUUUUUUGUUAUCUUAGGAGAAAGAUUCAUCAGACUAAGAUUUCUAUCCUAGGAUAAAGUUCAUCAGACUAGGUUUCUAUCUUAGGAGAAAAAUUAAUCAGACUAAGUUUCUAUCCUAUGAGAAAGUUCAUCAGACUAGGUCUUCUAUCUUAGGAGAAAGAUUCAUCAUACUAAGAUUUUGAUCAUAGGAGAAAAUUCAUCAGACUAUGGCUUCUAUCUUAGGAGAAAAAUUCAUCAGACUGAGAGAUUUUGAUCCUAGGAGAAAAUUAUUAGACUAGGUCCCUUUUUUGUUAUAUUAGGAGAAAGAUUCAUUAGACUAAGAUUUUUAUCCUAGGAGAAAAUUCAUCAGACUAGGUCUUCUAUCUUAGGAGAAAGAUUCAUCAGACUAAGAUUUUGAUUCUAGGAGAAAGUUCAUCAGACUAGGUCUCUAUCUUAGGAGAAUGAUUCAUCAGACUAAGAUUUUGAUCCUAGGAGAAAAUUCAUUAGACUAGGUCUCUUUUCUUCUUAUGGUAUCUUAGGAGAAAUAUUUAUCAGACUAAGACGUUUAUCCUAGGAGAAAAUUCAUUAGACUAGGUUUCCUAUCUUAGGAGAAAGAUUCAUCAAACUAAGAUUUCUAUUGGGAGCAAAAUCCAUCAAACUAGGACUUUUUAUCCUAGGAGGCAAAAUGUGAAGAUCAAUGGCAACAUUUUAUACACAAUAACAAGACAAAUAAAGGCAAAGACUUGAGAAACUUCCCUUUGUCGGCUCUUCUUUUCUUUUCAUUUUCUUCUUUUUUUGUAUUUUUUUUAUUUUUUUUGAAUCACUUUCCUUGCACUACUUUGUUUCCUGUUUCAUACAAAGAAAAAUUUGUCAAUUUUGAAAAUGGUGGUCAGUUUGUGGCCUUGAGUCUUGAGCAACUUGGCUUUUGCUCGAUCAGCCUGAGUCAGUCUCAAGAGACAUUUGUUCUGCCCCAACUCUGAUUGUUUCACACCUAGGACUAUUUGUAUUUGCAGCUCAAACAACCUUAUCCCAACUGGAGAUCUUUUCUUAAGUAACCUUUUCUGAUAUCUUGAAUGACUUCCUAUUUUUUAAGCAAUUUGUCUGUCAGAGAGAAUCACCAGUUAUCUUUGCUUGCGCCAAGUAAGCUGACAAAGGUCUUUUAGGGAAACCUUUGCAUGAAUCUUCAAGGUAUGUUGUUAGUAACAAUUUAGUGUGCUGGCCAAAUUUACUUUGUGCAACUGAAAAGCUGGUAGCAGAUUCUGAAAUCUUUUCUUGCUUGUUUUGACCGGACUGACUCAGAGUGAAGGACACAAUGAUGCAAAGAAACAAGUAUUAACAAGAAUGCCCUGCCGGAAGGACAAAAGGGAGAGUUUUUUUCUUUUUCUUUUUCUUUUUUUUUGUUUCUUUUUUUUCAAUAACUAGCCUUAAUGAUCAUGACAUGCAUUUUGGACUCAAUGACCUGAUCUAUCAAACUAAUCCAAUCUUCCCUUUUACCAUUCUUAUGACCUUUGAAGUAGGGCUUGUUCAUGACAAUCCUUUGCAUCAGCUUCACAACUCAUUUUCGACUAGUGAUGCCCCGAGGGAUUUUCACCAACGAGUCUGUCUCCUUUAUUUAUCUCUAUUUACCGUUGUCUUACAUUACCUGUGAGGGUUUACACUAGUAAGACUCUCUUAUUUUCUUUUAUUUUUUCUUUUGUUUUAGCUUUCUUAUGUGAGCAACUUGGCAGUGUUCUUAUAUUGCGUGACAACCGUUGCUCAUUGCAUGCAUCCCUUGGCAUUCUUGAAGGCUGAUUAGGAGAUCUUUACUUGGAAGGUUUUUGGACAGGGUUGGAAAGAAGGAUCGGCAUGAAGGCUCAAAGUAGACUCAAAAUUAGGGGUUGUAGACUUAGAACUCUUGGAAUCAACUCUUUCAAAAGUGAAAAAAAAAUCUCUACCCCAGUUUCAGCUAUUGGGGAUCUUUUUGGAUUUUUUUCUUUUUUUUCCUUUCCUUUAUUUUGAAUUCUUGUUUAGUUGGACCGAACCGUGAGGUUGCCUACGUAUCUUUUUUAUUAAGGAAUUAGGUCGAACGUAGUUCAAACAUCUGACCUAAACUAUUUUUCAUCUUUAUUUCUGUUUCUCUUUUUUCUUUUUUUUUCUUCCUCUUUUCUUUUCUUUUUUUUUCUUUUGCUUGCCCCAGCUUCUAUCUUCUGAGGGCAUGGAAUUUCGACAAUUAUUUUCUUCUUCAUUUUUUUUUUCAUUUGAACUUUCUAAGAAUUGUCCAGUUUGUACUCUUGGGACAUGGAUUUUUUUUUCUUUUUCCUUUUUUUCCUUUUUUUUUUGACUCUUGACUCUAAACUUGAUUCCGAAAAAGGGUGGUCAAAGAAAAUAACAUAGGCUCAAAGGGGUGACAAAGAGUAUAAAAUAUUUUGGGUAGCAGAAAAAGGGCCCCCAGCCUCGAGAACGCCAUACAUGGUAUCCCUUAGCGAUCACAUUAUUGGUGAACAUGCCUGUCUUCUUAGUGUUUCGUGGUCACAAGACACUUUCCAUCCCCUAAUGUCAAACUUUCCAACAAACUUCAAUUGAUUCUUCCUCAACCUGAUCUUCACAAUGAUUUUGAAGGUAAAGAUUCUUAACCUCCACGGGUAUGACUAUUCUAGUUCCACUUGAAUUUUACUCGGGCUUAAUUCCAAGGUAUUUCAACUCUUUUUCAUCCUCAAAAGUAUCUUUUUCUCAGUUGUCCAAUUCAAUCUUAAAUCAAUUUUCUAAGAUUUGGCCAAAAAUUUCGCAUGCAUGCCAUGUCCUUAAAACUAGCGGGAAAAGAACUAAGCAUGGAAUGACACAAAAGGAUAAAUUGUAUUUCAUUGAGUAAACAACAAGACAAACAACGUAAAAUCUGAGUUACAACCCUAAAAUAACCCGGCUAAUGAAAAUAGCAACAGAACAAACAGACAAGACUCACACAAAUAUAAUGGAUGGACAGAAGGGUUUGAUUCAAUAAAAGAAAUAAAAUCUGGAUCACAACCAUGAAAUAACUCAGAUAAUAGAAAAAACAUCAAAACAAGCUAUCAAGAUUCCUUCCUAAUGAGGAGGGAAUGACUUUUCAAUUGCUAGGCUUGACAUUUAGCCACAAAUUUGCUCAUCAGAAUCAGCAGAGUCUUCUCCAAUUUCAAAAUCAUUAACUUCAGUUAGAAAGUUCCCGAGAGGAUUCUCAUACUCCCUAUCACCACGCAUCAUCCCCACAAAGUGUGCAUCAUUAUGUGCAGGUAAAAUAUUCUGCGCGAUAUUCUAGGUGUCACUGUCUUCGAUCAGAAUCAGAUUUUUCUGGAUCAUCCUUUCUAUUUCUUUUUUCAAAUCUCGACAGCUUUCAACAUUGUGCCCCUGGGCAUUGUAAUGGUAUUCGCACCUUUGGUGUCAAAGUUUCUUGCAUAAGGGUCAAAUUUUCUUGCAUAAGGGUCCACAUGAUUUGGAGGAAUAUGUGCGAUCAUGUCAUGAUGCUUUAACUUCUCAAAUAAGCUUGCAUAGGACUCUCCUAUUGGUGUAAAAUUAUCUUUCAACCUUUGUUUCCCUUUAUACCCCUAGCUUGGAUGUGGGUUAUAGGGCACCUAAAAAUUUUGUGGAGGUUGGUGGAGAUUUUGUGAUGCUCGUGCUCGCCUUCUUGGGUGAUUUGGUGGCUGGACAACAUACUGAGGUGGAGCAAAAGAGUAUUGUGGGUUCUGAGGAGGAUAGUAAUGCUCAGGGGAGUUAUCGGAAAAUAGACGAGGAUGGUCAUACCUUCGAGACGUUCUCCUAAGACCUCUUCUCGAGCCUGAUGUCAUCAUGAUUUCUUCAUCCAUCUCAUUCGUGUCACUAGAUUCAAUUUGGACAGCCUGAGUUGCAACUUUGAGAGCUGCUUAACUUAUAAUUCUGCAUGUCUUAAGGCUAUUCUUUACCAUUUCUCCCAUUUUGAUUGCUUCCGAGAAGGAUUUUCCAACUGCGGACAUCAUGUUUUGAAAGUAAUCUGGCUCUUGCGCCUGAAGGAAGACAGUGAUUAGCUCGUGGUCAUCCAUGGGUGGCUUAACUCUAGCUGCUUGCUCUCUCCAUUUAAUGGCAUAUUUCCUUAAACUUUCACUUGGUUUCUUCUUCUGGUUUGAAAGGGAAUUGCGGUUUAGGGCAAUGUCAAUGUUGUAUUGGAACUGUUUGACAAAGUCCUGUGUCAUGUCAUCCCAGACGUACCAGCGAGAUGUUUCUUGAUCCCUAAACCAUUCGGAUGCUACUCCCGUAAGGCUUUUCCCAAAAUAAGCUAUUAGAAAUUCUUCAUUUCUUUCCGCACCUCUUAGUUGAUUGCAAUACCUUUUCAAGUGGGCUAUGGGGUCUCCAUGUCCAUCAUACUUUUUAAAUUUGGGAGUCUUGAAACCAAGUAGCAAGUGGACAUCGGGGAACAUACAUAGAUCCUUGAAGGCGAUACUCUUCUGACCUGCCAAUCCUUGCAUGUUUUUCAACUGUUGUUCUAAGCUUUUCACUCUUUGGGUCAUUUCUUCCUGUGCCAUCUUUCGGGCAGGCUUCUCACUCUUUGCAGGAAAAUCAAAUAGGUACGAGUGGUACUUAGGAGACUGGUACUGCUCUUGCUGGGUAGCAAAUUGUGACUCAUGACAAGGUUGUCCUUGGCAUUUGCCCAUGCUUGGCACAUUUUGGUCAUUUGCUGUUUCAGUAUUUUAUUUUCCUCAACCACAGUAGACUCUUGUUGAACCCUCUGACCCUGAGUCUCUUGAGCACUUGUAACAGCUUCGAUGUUAGUUAUCAUUUUUCUUGGAUCUUGUGUUGGCCGCUUACCAAAAACCAACCACCUCAAACUUUUUUAACAAUUCAAAACAAAACACACGUUAAAAUGGACUCGAUCAGUCCUUAUCGUUAUCAACAUUUUUUCACAUUUGUUUUUUCAGUUUUUUUUCAUUUUUCUUUUUAAUGGUUGAUCGAACCUGAUGUGGGUUGCCUAAGUAUAAUGUAGGAACAUGAAUCAGAUCUUGCGUAGUUCGGGAACAUCGGGAAUAAAAUAAAUAAACUAACUCUUUCUUUUGCUCUUUAAGAAAUCUAAACAUAAAAGCUCCUAACGAGGAAAAUAUUUUUUGGAUUUUGAAUGCUUUGUUUUCUUUUUGUUUGAAAUUUUUAAAAUAAAGAUCUCUAAACAAGAAAAAAUAUAUUUUUGGGUUUCCAUUUGUUUUUUUGGAGAAUUUUUGAAAAGAAAGACUUCUAAAGAAGAAAGAAAAUAUUUUUGGAAUUUUGUACUUUUAUUUUGAAAUUAUGAAGGAAAUACUUCUAAAGAAAAAAAAAUUGCGUCUUGAAUUUUUUUCAAUUUUUGAAAGAAGAAUAAAAUAUUUUUUGGAUUUUGAGAGGAAAUAAAAAAAAUAUUUUUGUAUUUUAAAAAAAAUGGGGUCUAAAAGAAAGACUUUCUAAAUAAAGAAGUAAAGGAUAAUAUUUUUGAUUUUUUUGAAAAUGGUGGGCUGGAACCGAGGAGCUUGCUUACGUAUCUCACAUCCGGUGAGAAUUAGACCCGCGUAGUUCGUCAGUUUUGACGGAACAGGAAAAACAUGACUUAUUUUGAAAUGACUUUUCUUCUUCUAUUUUUCAAAAUUUCAGCAGAGUUUCAGGUUAUUUCAAAUACCUACAUCUCACUCUCUUUUCUUUUUUCUUCUUUCUUUUUUUAUUUUUUAUUUUUUUUUUCAUUUUCUUUCCCUAUUCUAGAAGCCAGUCAACAUGCAAGCUGAAGCAGAUAGAUAUGCAAGUAGCACGUAAGAUGCAUCAGGAUGGUCUUUUAAUUUGGGUACACCUGUCCUAGAUGGACCCACCCCUGUGUUGAGUCCCCAAAGUCAAAUGCACGUGAUGCAAACAAGCAUUCCUACUAGGGAUUCAGCAUGAGGCUAUGUUAUUUUAGGUUUAAAAACCUGGGUAUAUUGUUCUAAACCUGGCCUACCCGAGUGCACAGCUCGAGUCGGGGGGGAGGGGGGCAGCAUACCGGGAAUACAGAAGCUUCACUGGCUUUGCAACUUGUCCGAACCUUGUUCUAAAAUUGGGAUAUGACUCUAACAGCAAAGAAGCCACACGAAGUACACACUUUCCGGUUGAUUUAGAAGACUUAGAGAGAAGAGGAUUUCGUGAUAAUUUAUAUACCGUCCAAGAAAUACCAAAGCGGUAAAAAGAGACAUUUAGCACAUUAGGCUCAAACACGUAUAAUAAAUAAAAGCCAACUAUAACAAUCAUAUCUAAGCUCGAAUUCUGAACCCUGAACCAAAAGUUCGGGGUUCUUAGACCCAGCAGAGUCGCUAGAGCUGUCACACCUCCUUUUUAACCCGAGAGAGAUAUAGGGAGUUUUUCCAAUUAAAGUGACAUUAAUAGAAAUGGGAUUAUUUAAUUUAAUCAGAGUCGCCACUUGGAAUAAUUUACGGUGUCCCAAGUCACCGAUUUAUUUUAAAUCCCAAAUCGAUGAGAAUUUUGGCUUUAAUUAAAAUUCUGUGAAACCAAAAAUUCUAGAUAAGGAAUUCUGUUAACCUGAGAGAAUGUGUUAGGAAUUCAUGGGUUCCGUGGUUCGAGCACGGUCGCUUAAACUAUUAAUAUUGGCCUAAUUAUCUGAUUAAUUACAUGUUUUUAAACCUAUUGUGCAUUUUCAGCUUUAUAACCACUUUUAAUUAUUUUAACCGCUUUUAAGAUUUAUAUAAUUAUUUCUUGAACAAGUUAUGAUUGUCGUACACUUGCCGUUUUGGGACACACCUCAAACCACGCUACAUGAAAUGCACCCGUGAUUCGCGAUAUGUUUAUUUUAUUAAAAGUUCGAAGUUGUUAUGAUCGGGUCACAUGAAAUGCACACCCGAAUUUGGGAAUUAUGUAUCAUAACUAUGCCACGGGAACUGUACCCAUAAUCACGAUGGUUUAUUAAUCGCGCCUAAAGCAAGCUACGAUGUUCAACAGUUGUUUAUUUGUUCCUUAAUUCAAGGCCGUCGAAGGUCUUGUAUCAUGGAACAGGACCGCAUAAUGCUAUCUCGAAUAUAGGAGAGGUAAAAUUAUUUUGAUUAAAUUUUUAUGACAAAACCCAUUACUACUGCUAGGCAGGCAUUACUCCAAGAUUAUUCAAUGGGAUAACACAAAUCAUUUUUCUAUCCAAAAAAAUCUCAAAAAAAAGGUUAGUUGACCAAGAACACAACAACUGAGACACAUGUUUUUGGAAAUAUUCAACAUAUUAGUUAAACACUAAAACUAACAGCUUUUGGAAAGAAAGAAAAUUGUGCAUUAAACAUCAAACACUGACUAGCAAAUGGUUUAAAAAAUGUCAAGCAAUUUACUUGCUGCAGCAUGAAAAAACUUCAGCUCAUACUCCAAUAACUUCCAGCAUAUAUUACAUACAAAUGGGAAUAAGCAAUUAACAAAGAACAUAGAGAAUUUUCAGUGUUUAUUACAAUCCCACUCAAUUAGCUAAUGAUGAAACACAUUUUCCUUAAAAAACACAUACACAUCUCUAGGCUAUAUAGUUUUCAUUUUCUCCAAAUAGCUUCUCGAUUUAUCAGGAUUGGAGUAUUCCAACAAAUCAGAAUCUAGUGCAUAUUACUCCAAAAUGAACAAAGUCACAAGACUGAGGUUCAACAGCUAAAUUUAGAGAUGGUGCACAUAUCAUUAACUACACCUCAAACUAAUGAUACUUAUGCCCACAGAUUACACACGAGGUGCAGUGUCGAUUUCCAUACUCGUUUUGGCCAUUAUCACUUAAAUCCGCAGCAUGUUUCAGGUAUCAGUUAAAUCAAACACCUCAAUCAAAGUUAUAACAUUGCACUUAUGCUAAAUAAGAUUUCAACACGUACAAAUAUGCUAAAACUAAAUUUCAAUAGAUUCAAACAAUUGAAGCACAUGAGCUAGAAGUGCAUCCACAAUUUCAUUACGAAUUAGAGAGGAGAUACAUGAUUUGGAUAUGUACCUGGUCACUUAGGAAUCAACAUAAAAUUGCCAAAGAAAGGCUAGAAAGGAGGAAACGUUGGAGUUCAGCUGCAGUUUAUUUGCAAAACAACUUCAAUUACCAGUUGAAAUCACCUUGAAAAAACCCAGGGAAGUGUGAAUAAAAUCUUCAAAUCUCUAUUUCACUUCAAGUUCUACUUGAAAUCUUUAAUUUUUUUGCUUUUUUCAGAGCUUUUGUUUUUGUCCUCACAUCUGAUCUUUGAACUUGAAUUCAGAAUGUGAUUGUGUGCGUCGAUGACUGAGAGAGGUGAGAAUUGUGUGAUUUCUCUUUAAGGAGAUGAAGGGAAGGUCUGCUCUUUGUCUUUUGUAGCAGAUUAAAGGCGUCGUUUGCUCUAAUUUUUGGGAGCAAGGAUGCCGUUGCUUUGCUCUCCUAGGUCUAGAUUUUAGGGACUUUAACGAG